GGGGAUGUAGCUCAGUGGUAGAGUGUAUGCUUGGCAUGCCCAGGUCCUGGGUUCAAUCCCCGGUACCCCCA
rnacentral:tRNA from 1 species